rnacentral:rRNA from 1 species
GAUGAACGCUGGCGGCGCGCCUAAUACAUGCAAGUCGAGCGAACGGACGAGAAGCUUGCUUUUCUGAUGUUAGCGGCGGACGGGUGAGUAACACGUGGAUAACCUACCUAUAAGACUGGGAUAACUUCGGGAAACCGGAGCUAAUACCGGAUAAUAUUUUGAACCGCAUGGUUCAAAAGUGAAAGACGGUCUUGCUGUCAUUUAUAGAUGGAUCCGCGCUGCAUUAGCUAGUUGGUAAGGUAACGGCUUACCAAGGCAACGAUGCAUAGCCGACCUGAGAGGGUGAUCGGCCACACUGGAACUGAGACACGGUCCAGACUCCUACGGGAGGCAGCAGUAGGGAAUCUUCCGCAAUGGGCGAAAGCCUGACGGAGCAACGCCGCGUGAGUGAUGAAGGUCUUCGGAUCGUAAAACUCUGUUAUUAGGGAAGAACAUAUGUGUAAGUAACUGUGCACAUCUUGACGGUACCUAAUCAGAAAGCCACGGCUAACUACGUG